AUGAAAUGCACCCUCGGGGGGUUGUGCUGGCGCUCCGGCGCAAUGUGCACGCCCCCUCUGGCGUUCAGACCCCUUCACACCUGUGCACGAACCCGUCGGACGGGAGUGGUGCCUCGCGCGCCCUCCGGUCUGGCCCUUCACAUCAGCUUAUUACCGUAUGUCGAAUGCAUCACUGCGCACGCGCAACCGAAAUA
rnacentral:misc_RNA from 1 species